UUAAAAAUAAGCUAAUAAAAGCUUUUGGGUUCAUACCUCAAAUAUAAAGACAUUCUCUUUUUUUUAAA
rnacentral:tRNA from 1 species